GCUACUGUAGCUCAGUUGGUAGAGCAGCUCAUUCGUAAUGAGCAGGUCGCGGGUUCAAGUCCCAUCAGUAGCUCCA
rnacentral:tRNA from 1 species